rnacentral:rRNA from 1 species
CCUACGGGAGGCAGCAGUGAGGAAUAUUGGUCAAUGGCCGGAAGGCUGAACCAGCCAUGCCGCGUGAAGGUCAGUGCCCUAUGGGCGUUAAACUUCUUUUGUGCGGGAGCAAUAAUGGUCACGUGUGGCCAGACGAGAGUACCGUACGAAUAAGCAUCGGCUAACUCCGUGCCAGCAGCCGCGGUAAUACGGGGGAUGCAAGCGGUAUCCGGAUUUAUUGGGGUUAAAGGGUGCGUAGGCUGUGGGGUAAGUCAGCGGUGAAAUGCCCCCGCGCAACGGGGUGAAGUGCCAUUGAUACUGCCUUGCUGGAAUGCGGAUGCGGUGGGAGGAAUGUGUGGUGUAGCGGUGAAAUGCAUAGAUAUCACACAGAACACCGAGUGCGAAGGCAUCUCACGAAUCCGCGAUUGACGCUGAUGCACGAAAGCGUGGGUAUCAAACAGGAUUAGAUACCCCAGUAGUC